rnacentral:rRNA from 1 species
AUGAACGCUGGCGGCGUGCCUAAUACCUGCAAGUCGAGCGAACAGACGAGGAGCUUGCUCCUCUGACGUUAGCGGCGGACGGGUGAGUAACACGUGGAUAACCUACCUAUAAGACUGGGAUAACUUCGGGAAACCGGAGCUAAUACCGGAUAAUAUAUUGAACCGCGUGGUUCAAUAGUGAAAGACGGUUUUGCUGUCACUUAUAGAUGGAUCCGCGCCGCAUUAGCUAGUUGGUAAGGUAACGGCUUACCAAGGCAACGAUGCGUAGCCGACCUGAGAGGGUGAUCGGCCACACUGGAACUGAGACACGGUCCAGACCCCUACGGGAGGCAGCAGUAGGGAAUCUUCCGCAAUGGGCGAAAGCCUGACGGAGCAACGCCGCGUGAGUGAUGAAGGUCUUCGGAUCGUAAAACUCUGUUAUUAGGGAAGAACAAAUGUGUAAGUAACUAUGCACGUCUUGACGGUACCUAAUCAGAAAGCCACGGCUAACUACGUG